GAUGAACGCUGGCGGCGUGCCUAAUACAUGCAAGUCGAGCGAACGGACGAGAAGCUUGCUUCUCUGAUGUUAGCGGCGGACGGGUGAGUAACACGUGGAUAACCUACCUAUAAGACUGGGAUAACUUCGGGAAACCGGAGCUAAUACCGGAUGAUAUUUUGAACCGCAUUGUUCAAAAGUGAAAGAUGGUCUUGCUGUCACUUAUAGAUGGUUCCGCGCUGCAUUAGCUAGUUGGUAAGGUAACGGCUUACCAAGGCAACGAUGCAUAGCCGACCUGAGAGGGGGAUCGGCGACACUGGAACUGAGACACGGUCCAGACUCCUACGGGAGGCAGCAGUAGGGAAUCUUCCGCAAUGGGCGAAAGCCUGACGGAGCAACGCCGCGUGAGUGAUGAAGGUCUUCGGAUCGUAAAACUCUGUUAUUAGGGAAGAACAUAUGUGGAAGUAACUGUGCACAUCUUGACGGUACCUAAUCAGAAAGCCACGGCUAACUACGUG
rnacentral:rRNA from 1 species